rnacentral:rRNA from 1 species
UACGUAGGGUGCGAGCGUUGUCCGGAAUUAUUGGGCGUAAAGAGCUCGUAGGCGGUUUGUCACGUCUGCUGUGAAAUCCCGAGGCUCAACCUCGGGCCUGCAGUGGGUACGGGCAGACUGGAGUGCGGUAGGGGAGAAUGGAAUUCCUGGUGUAGCGGUGGAAUGCGCAGAUAUCGGGAGGAACACCCGUAGCGAAGGCGGUUCUCUGGGCCAAUACUGACGCUGAGGAGCGAAAGCGUGGGGAGCAAACAGG